rnacentral:rRNA from 1 species
UUAAGUCCGGUAACGAGCGCAACCCUUGCUGUAUGUUACAUGUGUCAUACGGGACUGCCGGUAUCAAGCGGAGGAGUGGGGAUGACGUCAAGUCAGCAUGGCCUUUAUGUCUGGGGCUACACACACGCUACAAUGGCCAGUACAAUAGGUUGCAAAGCCGCGAGGUGGAGCCAAUCCUUAAAGCUGGUCUCAGUUCGGAUUGCAGGCUGCAACUCGCCUGCAUGAAGUCGGAGUUGCUAGUAACCGCGCGUCAGCUAUAGUGCGGUGAAUACGUUCCCGGGCCUU